UGCGCAGGCGGAUGGGUAGGUCGGGCGUGAAAUCCCACAGCUCAACUGUGGAACUGCGCUCGAAACUGCCCGUCUUGAGUAGAGAAGGGGAGAGUGGAACUCCAGGUGGAGCGGUGGAAUGCGUUGAUAUCUGGGGGAACGCCGGUGGCGAAAGCGGCUCUCUGGUCUCUUACUGACGCUGAGGCACGAAAGCCAGGGUAGCAAACG
rnacentral:rRNA from 1 species